GACGAACGCUGGCGGCGUGCCUAACACAUGCAAGUCGAGCGGGGUUGAAGCGAGGGGUAACUCGAGUUUCUACCUAGCGGCGGACGGGUGAGUAACGCGUGGGCAACCUGCCUCAAGGACUGGGAUAACAGCUCGAAAGGGCUGCUAAUACCGGAUAAGCCUAUGGCCUCGCAUGGGGCCAUGAGCAAAGGGGAAACCCGCCUUGAGAUGGGCCCGCGUCCCAUCAGCUAGUUGGUGAGGUGAAGGCUCACCAAGGCGACGACGGGUAGCCGGCCUGAGAGGGUGACCGGCCACACUGGGACUGAGACACGGCCCAGACUCCUACGGGGGCAGCAGUGGGGAAUCUUGCACAAUGGGCGAAAGCCUGAUGCAGCGACGCCGCGUGAGCGAAGAAGGCCUCGGGUUGUAAAGCUCUGUCUGGAGGGACGGAAGGAAGUGACGGUACCUCCGGAGGAAGCCACGGCUAACGUACGUAGCCAGCAGCCGCGGUAACUCGUCUCUA
rnacentral:rRNA from 1 species